UCAUUUCUUUGUAUUAGAAAAAUAGGAAUUGAACCUACAA
rnacentral:tRNA from 1 species